CUUACCAACAAUAAAAGCUAAAUAAAACAAUACCGUCUCCCCGGCAACGGCGCCAAAGUUUGAUAGGUUGUCGUACACCCGUCAAAGAUAAUUCCUGCAAAACCUUCUAACAAUGUAGUAGGGUAAGUAGGGUCGAAUCCACAGAGAGAUGGUCGUUUUAAUCUAGCUUCUAAGAUGGAGAAACUAAACAAGAUCAGGAAUAAUUAAAUUAAAGUUCUAAACUAAUCAAACUACGAAAAUCAAACUAAAAAGGAUCUAGGGUAAUGGUUCACCAUGUUUAUACUUAUAAACUAUCAAAAUAUCUUCACAGUUCAAUCAAUCAGAUAUCUAGAGCACAGGUUAUCCUUGGUCAGGCAUUAACGUUCUCAAAUCAACAUAUGCUAGUACGGUCGCUCAACAUAAUCAGAUUUGCUAAUUGUAGGUAAACCUCUAAAGAGUACUAUCUCUCGAUCUAUGACUCUAUAUUAGCAAUAUUUAAUCAGACAAUUGAUCAGAUUGCAAGAUUAACAACAAAACACUAAUCAAUUAGAGAAAUCAAUAAUUAAUCAAACCAUGAAUAAAUAUCAAUCAAUAAUCAUAUCAUAUAAACAUGGAUUCCCAAAACCCUAGAAAUAAAAACUACUCUAUCAUGAAAUAAAUAAUGAAAUCUAAAUCUACCAAGAAAAGCAUAAUGAAAGAAAUCAAGGAAAGAAACUAAAGGAACCAGGGGCGGAUCUAGCGUGGGUUCAGCUGAACCCACAAAAUUUUGGAAAAAAAACAAAGAAAAAUCUGCAAAAAAAAAUAAAAAUAAAAAUAGGUUAAAUAGAAGUAGCAGCAUAACAUUUAGGAUAGAAGGUGAAUGGUUUAGUGGUUCCGCGUGUUGUCAUUAAACUUUCGAGCCUGGCGACCUGAGUUCGAAACUUCUGCCCCCUUUUUUUUUGAAAUUUUAUUUUCCUCAAUAACUUACUCUUUAGUUUUUUCUGACACUCUCUAAUUCUCUCUCCUCUUUUCUCACUUCUCACACAACCUAGGUCCUAGCGUUUAGACGACCACUUUCACGGCGACACGGCGUCGGCAGUCACUGUCGGGCGGCGACCUCUCUCCUUCCGACGAGGCAACGACGCACGACAGUCGACUCUUCGCACACUCGUAGUCCGCAUACGCACGAACACGAAGGCAUUCGAAUUUCUCUUCUGCCACUGCCACGAAGCCAUUCUAACUUAUUUAGGAUGAAAAGUUUUGGAACAUUUUUGGCAGUGAUGAUGAUGUAUUAGAAUGCUUUUAAAAUAUGAAAAC